rnacentral:tRNA from 1 species
GAGAAAGAAUGCAAGAACUGCUAAUUCAUGCCCCCAAGCCUAAAAACCUGGCUUUCUCA